UACGUAGGCAGCGAGCGUUGUUCGGAGUUACUGGGCGUAAAGGGUGUGUAGGCGGUUUUCUAAGUUUGGUGUGAAAUCUCCCGGCUCAACCGGGAGGGUGCGCCGAAAACUGGGAGACUAGAGUGCGGGAUGGGAGAGUAGAAUUCCUGGUGUAGCGGUGAAAUGCGUAGAUAUCAGGAGGAACACCGGUGGCGAAGGCGGUGGUCUGGGCCGGCACUGACGCUGAGGAGCGAAAGCGUGGGUAGCAAACAGG
rnacentral:rRNA from 1 species